CACAGAGCAGCCUCUGUUUGACUCCUCAGCUCCUGUUUAACCACUUCCCUCCAAACAGCAGCACAGGCAGUGACAAGCCAUUUGAUCCAGUGGUGCUGAGAGUCUUCAUGCAGAGUUGACCUCCUGCUACAUAAUGAGGCAGAAAAUGCCCUGCAAUAUUGGAAGUGUGUAAGAAAUAGUUGGCUUCAUACCCAAACCAGAAAACUGGGGCUCAG
rnacentral:lncRNA from 1 species